AGUUGGCUGUGAUUUGAGAGGUUGCCGAUACACGGAUAGCCGUUGUCUAAGGUCGGGUUUUCUCAAGGAGCAAGUCUAUGCAAACAGAAUA
rfam:complete chromosome Acholeplasma palmae.